AACCUAGCACACCUGCGGUGUGUACCUGCGGAGGGAUCAUUACAGAGUUGCAAAACUCCCCAAACCAUUGUGAACCUUACCUUCAACCGUUGCUUCGGCGGGCGGGCCACAGCGCCCCCCGGGCCCCCCCAGCGGGGCGCCCGCCGGAGGAUACCCAAACUCUUGAUACUUUAUGGCCUCUCUGAGUCUUCUGUACUGAAUAAGUCAAAACUUUUAACAAUGGAUCUCAGAUCGGAAGAG
rnacentral:misc_RNA from 1 species